rnacentral:rRNA from 1 species
GGUUAAGCGACUAAGCGUACACGGUGGAUGCCCUGGCAGUCAGAGGCGAUGAAGGACGUGCUAAUCUGCGAUAAGCGUCGGUAAGGUGAUAUGAACCGUUAUAACCGGCGAUUUCCGAAUGGGGAAACCCAGUGUGUUUCGACACACUAUCAUUAACUGAAUCCAUAGGUUAAUGAGGCGAACCGGGGGAACUGAAACAUCUAAGUACCCCGAGGAAAAGAAAUCAACCGAGAUUCCCCCAGUAGCGGCGAGCGAACGGGGAGCAGCCCAGAGCCUGAAUCAGUGUGUGUGUUAGUGGAAGCGUCUGGAAAGGCGCGCGAUACAGGGUGACAGCCCCGUACACAAAAAUGCACAUGCUGUGAGCUCGAUGAGUAGGGCGGGACACGUGGUAUCCUGUCUGAAUAUGGGGGGACCAUCCUCCAAGGCUAAAUACUCCUGACUGACCGAUAGUGAACCAGUACCGUGAGGGAAAGGCGAAAAGAACCCCGGCGAGGGGAGUGAAAAAGAACCUGAAACCGUGUACGUACAAGCAGUGGGAGCCUCUUUUAUGGGGUGACUGCGUACCUUUUGUAUAAUGGGUCAGCGACUUAUAUUCUGUAGCAAGGUUAACCGAAUAGGGGAGCCGAAGGGAAACCGAGUCUUAACUGGGCGUUAAGUUGCAGGGUAUAGACCCGAAACCCGGUGAUCUAGCCAUGGGCAGGUUGAAGGUUGGGUAACACUAACUGGAGGACCGAACCGACUAAUGUUGAAAAAUUAGCGGAUGACUUGUGGCUGGGGGUGAAAGGCCAAUCAAACCGGGAGAUAGCUGGUUCUCCCCGAAAGCUAUUUAGGUAGCGCCUCGUGAAUUCAUCUCCGGGGGUAGAGCACUGUUUCGGCAAGGGGGUCAUCCCGACUUACCAACCCGAUGCAAACUGCGAAUACCGGAGAAUGUUAUCACGGGAGACACACGGCGGGUGCUAACGUCCGUCGUGAAGAGGGAAACAACCCAGACCGCCAGCUAAGGUCCCAAAGUCAUGGUUAAGUGGGAAACGAUGUGGGAAGGCCCAGACAGCCAGGAUGUUGGCUUAGAAGCAGCCAUCAUUUAAAGAAAGCGUAAUAGCUCACUGGUCGAGUCGGCCUGCGCGGAAGAUGUAACGGGGCUAAACCAUGCACCGAAGCUGCGGCAGCGACGCUUAUGCGUUGUUGGGUAGGGGAGCGUUCUGUAAGCCUGUGAAGGUGUGCUGUGAGGCAUGCUGGAGGUAUCAGAAGUGCGAAUGCUGACAUAAGUAACGAUAAAGCGGGUGAAAAGCCCGCUCGCCGGAAGACCAAGGGUUCCUGUCCAACGUUAAUCGGGGCAGGGUGAGUCGACCCCUAAGGCGAGGCCGAAAGGCGUAGUCGAUGGGAAACAGGUUAAUAUUCCUGUACUUGGUGUUACUGCGAAGGGGGGACGGAGAAGGCUAUGUUGGCCGGGCGACGGUUGUCCCGGUUUAAGCGUGUAGGCUGGUUUUCCAGGCAAAUCCGGAAAAUCAAGGCUGAGGCGUGAUGACGAGGCACUACGGUGCUGAAGCAACAAAUGCCCUGCUUCCAGGAAAAGCCUCUAAGCAUCAGGUAACAUCAAAUCGUACCCCAAACCGACACAGGUGGUCAGGUAGAGAAUACCAAGGCGCUUGAGAGAACUCGGGUGAAGGAACUAGGCAAAAUGGUGCCGUAACUUCGGGAGAAGGCACGCUGAUAUGUAGGUGAAGUCCCUCGCGGAUGGAGCUGAAAUCAGUCGAAGAUACCAGCUGGCUGCAACUGUUUAUUAAAAACACAGCACUGUGCAAACACGAAAGUGGACGUAUACGGUGUGACGCCUGCCCGGUGCCGGAAGGUUAAUUGAUGGGGUUAGCGCAAGCGAAGCUCUUGAUCGAAGCCCCGGUAAACGGCGGCCGUAACUAUAACGGUCCUAAGGUAGCGAAAUUCCUUGUCGGGUAAGUUCCGACCUGCACGAAUGGCGUAAUGAUGGCCAGGCUGUCUCCACCCGAGACUCAGUGAAAUUGAACUCGCUGUGAAGAUGCAGUGUACCCGCGGCAAGACGGAAAGACCCCGUGAACCUUUACUAUAGCUUGACACUGAACAUUGAGCCUUGAUGUGUAGGAUAGGUGGGAGGCUUUGAAGUGUGGACGCCAGUCUGCAUGGAGCCGACCUUGAAAUACCACCCUUUAAUGUUUGAUGUUCUAACGUGGACCCGUGAUCCGGGUUGCGGACAGUGUCUGGUGGGUAGUUUGACUGGGGCGGUCUCCUCCUAAAGAGUAACGGAGGAGCACGAAGGUUGGCUAAUCCUGGUCGGACAUCAGGAGGUUAGUGCAAUGGCAUAAGCCAGCUUGACUGCGAGCGUGACGGCGCGAGCAGGUGCGAAAGCAGGUCAUAGUGAUCCGGUGGUUCUGAAUGGAAGGGCCAUCGCUCAACGGAUAAAAGGUACUCCGGGGAUAACAGGCUGAUACCGCCCAAGAGUUCAUAUCGACGGCGGUGUUUGGCACCUCGAUGUCGGCUCAUCACAUCCUGGGGCUGAAGUAGGUCCCAAGGGUAUGGCUGUUCGCCAUUUAAAGUGGUACGCGAGCUGGGUUUAGAACGUCGUGAGACAGUUCGGUCCCUAUCUGCCGUGGGCGCUGGAGAACUGAGGGGGGCUGCUCCUAGUACGAGAGGACCGGAGUGGACGCAUCACUGGUGUUCGGGUUGUCAUGCCAAUGGCACUGCCCGGUAGCUAAAUGCGGAAGAGAUAAGUGCUGAAAGCAUCUAAGCACGAAACUUGCCCCGAGAUGAGUUCUCCCUGACUCCUUGAGAGUCCUGAAGGAACGUUGAAGACGACGACGUUGAUAGGCCGGGUGUGUAAGCGCAGCGAUGCGUUGAGCUAACCGGUACUAAUGAACCGUGAGGCUUAACCUU